GACGAACGCUGGUGGCGUGCUUAACACAUGCAAGUCGAACGGGAUUUAGUAAACAGAAGCCUCGGUGGAAGAUUACUAAUGAGAGUGGCGAACGGGUGAGUAACGCGUGAGCAACCUGCCUAUGACAGUGGGAUAGCCUCGGGAAACCGGGACUAAUACCGCAUAAAAUCGUAGAAACACAUGUUUUAACGGUCAAAGAUUUAUCGGUCAUAGAUGGGCUCGCGUCUGAUUAGCUAGUUGGUGAGAUAACAGCCCACCAAGGCGACGAUCAGUAGCCGGUCUGAGAGGAUGAACGGCCACAUUGGAACUGAGACACGGUCCAAACUCCUACGGGAGGCAGCAGUAGGGAAUAUUGCACAAUGGGGGAAACCCUGAUGCAGCGACGCCGCGUGAACGAAGAAGGUAUUCGUAUCGUAAAGUUCUGUCCUAUGGGAAGAUAAUGACAGUACCAUAGAAGAAAGCUCCGGCUAAAUACGUG
rnacentral:rRNA from 1 species